rnacentral:misc_RNA from 1 species
CAACCCUCAAGCUCUGCUUGGUGUUAGGCGCCGCCCGUCAAACGGCGCGCCUCAAAAUCAGUGGCGGUGCCAUCUGGCUGUAAGCGUAGUAAUUCUUCUCGCUUUGGAGACCAGGUGUGUGCUCGCCAGCAACCCUCAAUUUUAUCAA